GACGAACGCUGGCGGCGUGCUUAACACAUGCAAGUCGAACGGAAAGGCCCCUUUGGGGGUACUCGAGUGGCGAACGGGUGAGUAACACGUGAGUAACCUGCCCUUGACUUCGGGAUAACUUCAGGAAACUGGGGCUAAUACCGGAUAGGAAUCCUUGCUGCAUGGUGGGGGUUGGAAAGCUUCGGCGGUUUUGGAUGGACUCGCGGCUUAUCAGCUUGUUGGUGGGGUAGUGGCUUACCAAGGCUUUGACGGGUAGCCGGCCUGAGAGGGCGACCGGCCACAUUGGGACUGAGAUACGGCCCAGACUCCUACGGGAGGCAGCAGUGGGGAAUAUUGCACAAUGGGCGGAAGCCGGAUGCAGCAACGCCGCGUGCGGGAUGACGGUCUUCGGGUUGUAAACCGCUUUCAGCAGGGGCGAAGCUUGUGGUGACGGUACCUGCAGAAGAAGCACCGGCUAACUACGUG
rnacentral:rRNA from 1 species